UUACGGUCAAAUCACGCUGAAACACCGGUUCUCGUUCGAUCACCGAAGUUAAGCAUCGUAGAGCCAGGUCAGUACUUAGAUGGGGACCGCUUAAACACCUGGUACUGUAAG
rnacentral:rRNA from 1 species